AGAACAAAUGGGAUGACCAUCAUGAGAAAUCCCUAGCUACCACCUGAGCUGGAACAAGGGCUGUACCAGGGGAAAGGAUUGUGCCCAGACUAAAAAGGUGUCCAGUCUGUAAAAGAAACUUACUGAAACAUCUCAAAGGGUAAGAUUUUUAUCUGUAUUCAGUUUUUAUUACUGUACUAGACUUAGACUUGCAUGUUUUAUUUUAUUUUGCUUGGUAAUUCACUUUGUUCUGUCUGUUACUACUUGGAACCACUUAAAUCCUUC